rnacentral:lncRNA from 1 species
UUUGAACUUUUUGUUGAAUGUUGUAGAUAAAUAGCUUUGAGAAAUUCGGGUUGUCAUCUGAGUCGCCCGAUAUGGACUGAAUAUCUUGCAUUUCACAUGUGUAGCCCCCAAGGGUCGGCUCAUCAGUUAUGUGAUGGGCCGAUCUUCAAUUUGGACCUUACAAUCUGUUUGGACAACUGAGUACUGUAGCCCCCAAGUGCCGGGUCGCAUGCCUGCAGCGAUUUGGGACUUUGUAUUUGUCUCAUGUUCAUAAAACUUCAGCCAGUGUAGCCCCCAAGGGCCGGGUUAGUAUGCAAUAAUGAGCAUGGACUUUGUAGAUCUGUUUAUGUAAACUUGAGCAGCAAUGUGUAGCCCCCAAGGAUCGGAUCAUUAUGCAAUAAUGAGCCGGUUCUUCCUUGAAUCCAUAGUUGAAUAAAGAGCGACCUAUAGCCCCUAGUGCCGGAUUAUGUCCUUGAGAUAGCCGGGUCUGUUGAUGAUGCGAUGAUUUGAAAGAGUGGUUUGCAUUAGCCCCCAAGUGUCAUGGUGCAUGCUUCCAGUGACAUGGGACCUUCAUACUUUGAUGUAAUCUUAAUUUGAAUAAUGUAGCCCCCAAGUGUCGGGUCGUGUGUGUGCCACUACUCGGGACUAUUCCUUCCAUUGUAAAAUAAAAUCAUAUCCACUCUAUGAACUGAUGAUGCCUUUGUGAUGAAAGAAAUCCUUGACCGUGGUUGCAAAGUAGCCCGUCAAAUAUAUGUUUGUGAAAUCCAUAAGUGUUGUAGUUUACUAUAGAGCACAAGUUGAAAAAAAUCCAAGAGCCGGUCAAUUAGAUGAUAGGGCGGCUCUUCGAAAAUAGUCAAUUCUUCCGAGCUGGCUUAAAAACCCCAAUCAUUUAACACUGGUUAUGAUAAACCAUGGUGAAGAUCCAUCCAUAUUGUCUAUCAAAGAUCUAUUUUCUCCUACAGAAGUUUAUGCUUUGACCUGGUUUGAAGACCGACAUGAUAUGUAUGUAUGAUGCAUGAUGCAAUGCAGGAUGAUGUAUGUAUACGAUAACAGAGUAUAAAGUGCUACCUUUCGAGGCAUGACAUGAAGACCGGCUUUCGAGGCUCGAUACUUGCUUCAAUGAAGCGGGUAUGAUAAUCCAUGAGGAUAAAAACUUUUAAUAAGCUAGCUCAGUGAGACUCGGCAAGGAGACUGGCUGAUCAGGCUCAAGUCUUGCCUGAGUGAAGCGGGUACGUCAACCCAUGGUUUCCACCUUUUCCAUAUGCCGGCACUCACGCGACACACUUGAUGUUCUAACCUUGACAAGUUUAGGGUCCACACUGGAUUGACUUGCCAAGAGUACACGUGCCUUUUAAGGGGAGUCACACAAACAUACAGUCAGGUCUAACCAUCAUAUAGCGGUAAUUUUUCACGGACCAAGAUGGUGAGAAAGCUAAACUCAGUGAGUUGAAAGCCCCCAAGUGACCC